rnacentral:rRNA from 1 species
UCGCUGAUGGAUGGACCCGCGGUGCAUUAGCUAGUUGGUGAGGUAACGGCUCACCAAGGCUACGAUGCAUAGCCGACCUGAGAGGGUGAUCGGCCACAUUGGGACUGAGACACGGCCCAAACUCCUACAGGAGGCAGCAGUAGGGAAUCUUCGGCAAUGGACGAAAGUCUGACCGAGCAACGCCGCGUGAGUGAAGAAGGUUUUCGGAUCGUAAAACUCUGUUGUUAGAGAAGAACAAGGAUGAGAGUAACUGUUCAUCCCUUGACGGUAUCUAACCAGAAAGCCACGGCUAACUACGUGCCAGCAGCCGCGGUAAUACGUAGGUGGCAAGCGUUGUCCGGAUUUAUUGGGCGUAAAGCGAGCGCAGGCGGUUUCUUAAGUCUGAUGUGAAAGCCCCCGGCUCAACCGGGGAGGGUCAUUGGAAACUGGGAGACUUGAGUGCAGAAGAGGAGAGUGGAAUUCCCUGUGUAGCGGUGAACUGUCCAGAUAU